CGGCGCGUGGGUGUCAGUGGCGGCGCGUGGGCGGUCGUCGGCGGCGCGUGAGGCAGCUUCCGGCGACGAAACUCGCAGGGGUUGUGCGCCUGACGGUGUAUGUCUCGGUGGUUUAGGAGGUGUCGAAGAAAGACCACCGUGAGAGACCACUGUUGACGGUUCCGAGGAGAGAGAGAGGGGGUACUUACCUGUAGCUACCGGCGGCUCGUCGGUGGUGCCAAUGGUGUGAAAC
rnacentral:lncRNA from 1 species